rnacentral:rRNA from 1 species
AUUGAACGCUGGCGGUAGGCCUAACACAUGCAAGUCGAACGGCAGCACAGUAAGAGCUUGCUCUUACGGGUGGCGAGUGGCGGACGGGUGAGGAAUACAUCGGAGUCUGCUUGUUCGUGGGUGAGAACGCAGGGAAUCUUACGCUAAUAGCGCAGACGACCUACGUGUGAAAGCAGCGGAUCUUCGGACCUUGGGCGAUUGAAUGACCCGAUGUCGGAUUAGCUAGUUGGCGGGGUAAAGGCCCACCAAGGCGACGAUCCGUAGCUGGUCUGAGAGGAUGAUCAGCCACACUGGAACUGAGACACGGUCCAGACUCCUACGGGAGGCAGCAGUGGGGAAUAUUGGACAAUGGGCGAAAGCCUGAUCCAGCCAUACCGCGUGGGUGAAGAAGGCCUUCGGGUUGUAAAGCCCUUUUGUUGGGAAAGAAAAGCAGCAGGUUAAUACCCCGCUGUUCUGACGGUACCAACAGAAUAAGCACCGGCUAACUUCGUG